AAUCCACUGAGUGUGAUCACUGA
rnacentral:piRNA from 1 species